UACGAAGGGGGCUAGCGUUGUUCGGAAUUACUGGGCGUAAAGCGCGCGCAGGCGGCUAUCCAAGUCAGUGGUGAAAGCCCGGAGCUCAACUCCGGAACUGCCAUUGAAACUGUUUAGCUUGAGGACGAGAGAGGUGAGUGGAAUUCCCAGUGUAGAGGUGAAAUUCGUAGAUAUCUGGAGGAACACCGGUGGCGAAGGCGGCUAUCUGGUCGAGUACUGACACUGAGACACGAAAGCAUGGGGAUCAAACAGG
rnacentral:rRNA from 1 species